GUUUGUAAGGGUGAUAUGGCUAUGACAUGUGUUACCCAUUGCUCACCAGGGUUAAAUCAACUUAUCAAGUUGUCUAGGCAAGUGUCCCCUUCCCCAUUCACUACUCCAUGUAUGUCCCUCCUGAAGUUGUGAGCUUCAUUAAAGAGGAAAAUCUACCCCAAUAGAGGAGGACUGUGCAUUGGUCAAGGAUACAUAAAUGACUGUGUCCCCCACUAGAAUCUCCAAACAAGCUUUCAAGGUCCUUUCAUUUCAUAGUUGCAGUCUAUGUGGUAGAAUAAUAUGAUGUUUACACUC
rnacentral:snRNA from 1 species